ACCCCCCUGCAAUGUGCGUGAUUGUAUGACAGUCUUUGUCCUAACGCAUAGUAAAAAGGGAGUUCACCCUGAUACUGGUGAGCAGGUUCCUAUUUGCAAGGAAAAGCCUAAAGGUAUUAUUGGACACCCACCUUUUGAACCAAUGGUUCAAAGCCUAUAAAGCAACACGGCAAUUUGUGGGGGUAAU
rnacentral:other from 2 species